UGUUCAAAACCAAAAUGUGUCUUUUUGAGAAUAAUGAUUGCUAUGCACUGACAAUGAUGGGCCACAAAUAUAGAAGAUUGGAAAGGAUUGUUUGAUGCUGAUGCUGGGGAAGUCAUUGCUAUUUGUGAGAACCCUCACUGUUUUUUUUUACUUUAAUUGAUUUGGUUUGGAACUGUGAACUUUGAACAGAGAGCUGAAGAAGGAUUAUGCAUGCCAAAGCUACAGGCCAGAGUUUGAUUGCUCUCCCGCUACCCUCCCAUUAUCAACUUACUGAAAGUUUUGAGAAAAGGAUCUCGGUUAUAACAAAUUUUGCUGAGUGUCCCUGGUGUCCUGGAGCCUAGAGACCUCCAAACCGCUGAUGGCUGUGGGUGCAACCUUCUCUGUCUGAGCUGAUGGAGGCAUUCACUUCUUCCCUUGGCAGAGGAGAGAUGUGCAGCUGAGCACCUCUGGAGUGGUCUGAAAGGUCAAUUCAUGGGUUCUUGUCUUCAUCUCAAGUAGUGCACAAUGGUACCUUUCUUACCUCCUGAAGGGAAAGUCCACCUGGAGAGAGAUCAGGGUCCCUUCGCCCCUCUCACUAAACCAACGAAUGAAUAUAUCUGUGGUUCAUUAUGAUGGAGUAAAGCUCCAAAGUAUAUAUCUGGCAAAUAUUGUUUUUUAUUUCGACCAGGCUCUCCACAAUGACUGCCAUCUGAUCCAUGGGCUAGUCAUGCAAUCACAAAGCAGAGCCAUAAUAUCAGGAAAAACAAUGGAAAACUCCUUUGUCCUUCACUCCAAUCUGUGCAUGAGCUUAGGCACUUCUGUCAGAUCUUCUACUUAUUACCUCUGUGUCUCCAACUGCUCAUUAAAGGCUUGUGUCCAUGGCUUACCAUCUAUACUCGACUCAGCAGGCACCUCCAGCAAUCCUCCAAGUGUUAGAACCUUUGGCUGUUUUCUCAUCCUCUUGGUUCUUUUCUCAUCUUUUAGACAAAAUCCUGUACCAAUACUGAGCUGACCAGAACUUGACUAGAUAAGUUACCCACUGAAGUGAAAGUUCUGCAUUGAUGGAGGUGGGGUGGAAUGACUUGUUGCUGUUUCCUUUGAAGAUUU